CACGUAGGGUGCAAGCGUUGUCCGGAUUUAUUGGGUUUAAAGGGUGCGCAGGCGGUUUGUUAAGUUUGUGGUGAAAGCGUCUCGCUUAACGAGAUACCCGCCAUGGAUACUGGCAGACUUGAGUAUGUCUGAGGAAAUUAGAAUGCGUGGUGUAGCGGUGAAAUGCAUAGAUAUCACGCAGAAUACCGAUUGCGAAGGCA
rnacentral:rRNA from 1 species